GAUGCACGCUGGCGGCGUGCCUAAUACAUGCAAGUCGAACGCACAGCGAAAGGUGCUUGCACCUUUCAAGUGAGUGGCGAACGGGUGAGUAACACGUGGACAACCUGCCUCAAGGCUGGGGAUAACAUUUGGAAACAGAUGCUAAUACCGAAUAAAACUUAGUGUCGCAUGACACAAAGUUAAAAGGCGCUUCGGCGUCACCUAGAGAUGGAUCCGCGGUGCAUUAGUUAGUUGGUGGGGUAAAGGCCUACCAAGACAAUGAUGCAUAGCCGAGUUGAGAGACUGAUCGGCCACAUUGGGACUGAGACACGGCCCAAACUCCUACGGGAGGCUGCAGUAGGGAAUCUUCCACAAUGGGCGAAAGCCUGAUGGAGCAACGCCGCGUGUGUGAUGAAGGCUUUCGGGUCGUAAAGCACUGUUGUAUGGGAAGAACAGCUAGAAUAGGAAAUGAUUUUAGUUUGACGGUACCAUACCAGAAAGGGACGGCUAAAUACGUGCCAGCAGCCGCGGUAAUACGUAUGUCCCGAGCGUUAUCCGGAUUUAUUGGGCGUAAAGCGAGCGCAGACGGUUUAUUAAGUCUGAUGUGAAAGCCCGGAGCUCAACUCCGGAAUGGCAUUGGAAACUGGUUAACUUGAGUGCAGUAGAGGUAAGUGGAACUCCAUGUGUAGCGGUGGAAUGCGUAGAUAUAUGGAAGAACACCAGUGGCGAAGGCGGCUUACUGGACUGCAACUGACGUUGAGGCUCGAAAGUGUGGGUAGCAAACAGGAUUAGAUACCCUGGUAGUCCACACCGUAAACGAUGAACACUAGGUGUUAGGAGGUUUCCGCCUCUUAGUGCCGAAGCUAACGCAUUAAGUGUUCCGCCUGGGGAGUACGACCGCAAGGUUGAAACUCAAAGGAAUUGACGGGGACCCGCACAAGCGGUGGAGCAUGUGGUUUAAUUCGAAGCAACGCGAAGAACCUUACCAGGUCUUGACAUCCUUUGAAGCUUUUAGAGAUAGAAGUGUUCUCUUCGGAGACAAAGUGACAGGUGGUGCAUGGUCGUCGUCAGCUCGUGUCGUGAGAUGUUGGGUUAAGUCCCGCAACGAGCGCAACCCUUAUUGUUAGUUGCCAGCAUUCAGAUGGGCACUCUAGCGAGACUGCCGGUGACAAACCGGAGGAAGGCGGGGACGACGUCAGAUCAUCAUGCCCCUUAUGACCUGGGCUACACACGUGCUACAAUGGCGUAUACAACGAGUUGCCAACCCGCGAGGGUGAGCUAAUCUCUUAAAGUACGUCUCAGUUCGGAUUGUAGUCUGCAACUCGACUACAUGAAGUCGGAAUCGCUAGUAAUCGCGGAUCAGCACGCCGCGGUGAAUACGUUCCCGGGUCUUGUACACACCGCCCGUCACACCAUGGGAGUUUGUAAUGCCCAAAGCCGGUGGCCUAACCUUUUAGGAAGGAGCCGUCUAAGGCAGGACAGAUGACUGGGGUGAAGUCGUAACAAGGUAGCCGUAGGAGAACC
rnacentral:rRNA from 1 species